ensembl:lncRNA
CUGAAGAGAAGGCAAAACAGCAGUGAACUGGCCGCUGGCAGCAGGCGUGGGGAACUGAGGGAGGCUGAGCCAACUAAACAUUGACUGACCAGGCACUGCCUGGCCCCCAGGAGGUCCAGCUGGGAGGAGGCCCGUGGCUGGCUGAGCCAGGGUCUGCAGUGGCUAUGAAUUCUAGUUAGGUCCAAAAGUCCAGAUGGGUGACCUGAUGGGACCCCUGGCCUCAUGGCCACACAACUCACCACCAGCACGCAUACUCAGAAACUGGCCGCAGUUUGGCUGUGGACAGAGGCAGCCGGCUCAGCCACGGCUUCCGGAACCAGAACACAAGCCGUCCAGCUCCUGAUGGCCCUGGGACAUGCAUGUCCUGCUGGGUGCUGUGACCAGUCCUCCAGCUGGUGCAGGGCCACACUCACAUACCAUAGGACAGACAAGAGAACACCCAAACCCAGCCCUCCACCCACAUGCCAGGUGGAAGAAACGCAGAAGUCAGACCGUCGCCCAUUCGACCCCGUAAGAUUCUGGAAACUUCUCUUCAGGGGCGAUGUUGGGCAGGAAGCUGGAGUCAGCCUGUGUGUGAGAAAGCACCCGAUUCCACUCUACAGCGUCCUGCCCACACCCAGUGACUUGUGGGUGGUCCCAGCCCCCCCCCCAGGAGAAUCCUGCCUGCCUGUGUAGGAGGGCUUUCUCCUGUUCCUCACCUUGGUCCAGAAGAGGGUGGGGGAGACCCGGCGGGAUGACCUGGACCCCUGCCCUUAGGAGCCCCGGUCUGAAUCCAGACUGAGCUGGGAGCUCGCAGGUGUCUGCUGCGCCGCCCACCUGGCUGUCAGCUGUGCCCUUCACUACACUUCACCUGCUUUCCCCAGGCACUCUCCCUGGGAUCCCCGUGAGGGCGCCCGUCUGUGCCCACAGAUGCACCUGCUGCCUCCCGCCUCCCACCGGGGACCCUGAGGACCUGUGCCCAGCCCCUCCUCCUGCGUCUCCCGUGGCAUCCUCACACCUUUUGCUGCCUAUCGAAUUUCUGUGUUUCUGCCUUCAUUUUCCAAAGGCUGAGACGGCUCCUAUUCCUGCCGCGCCGGGAAGGUCUGAGCUCCCAGCCUCUGAGUGGGCCGUGUGCUGCUUUGGUCUGAGCUCCCAGCCUCUGAGUGGGCUGUGCGCUGCUUUGGUCUGAGCUCCCAGCCUCUGAGUGGGCCGUGCGCUGCUUUGGUCUGAGCUCCCAGCCUCUGAGUGGGCCGUGUGCUGCUCUCUGAUCGCUAGCUUUAAAAAAGUCUAUUUCUGUGAAAGGCAGAGAGCUGCUUGUCCUCAGGCAAGAAAGGAUUCGGACGUGACACAGAGCGGCAGUCAGGGUGCACCUGGCGGAGCGGGCGGCGCCCCAGCGUCUCAGCCUUUCAGGGCUGCAGAUCCGCAGACCUGCCCCCUUCUGCCCGCCCCCGUGGUGAACCACCUGCUGCUUCUGGGAUACGACUAGGUAGAGGGCAUGAAGUUCCUGAAAUCCCCCCCCUUUCAGCCCCAAGGGUGUGGGGCAGGGAGGACCCCCCUCUGCCGUCCUCUGGAGAGGGCUGGGACCACCCCCCCCCCACACACACGGUUAUCAACAGUGAGACUGGAUGAGUCGCUGCUGGCCGGCGCACAGCUGUCUGUGUUCCAGCACACAGGAAUGCCCUUUUUCUUCAGCCCCCUCGCAGGCUGGUGUCCAACGACCCGCCAAGCCUGGCCCGGGCCAGAACAUGAUCUCGGACGGAACAUUUCCAGGCCUUGGUGCUGACCACAGCCGUCGACUCGGUGGGUGGAUGCCGCGGGGUGCUCAGCAAAGCCAGGGGGUGACUGACAGCCUGGCCUCCAUGCUGAGAUCGGCGUGGGGCCCGCUGUGGCCCUAAUCGAAGCACCUUCCUUUCCUUGCCCUUUUUUUCUUAUCUUAUAUAAUAAAACCCAGCUUCCGGUAUUGUGAAUUACCUGC